GGCAUUAUAGCUCAGUUGGAUUUAGAGCACCUCAGCAUGUAACGAGGAGGUCCUGGGUUCGAAUCCCAGUAAAGCCA